rnacentral:tRNA from 1 species
GGCGGAGCAGAUCAGUGGCAGAUCAUCUGGUUAUUGCCAGAGGGGCGGGGGUUCGAUUCCUCCCAUCGCAAUUUCCCA